UAGCAUGCAGUCGAGCGAGAACCCGCAAGGGGGACAGCGGCGAACGGGGUAGGACAACGUAGGUAACGUACCCUCGGGGCGAGGACAGCCACGGGAAACUGUGGGUAAUACUCGAUAAUGUUCCCAAUCGUGAUGGAAGGGGAACCAAUGGGUGAGAUUCCACCUGAGGAGCGGCUUACGCAGUAUCAGCUAGUUGGUGAGGUAACGGCUCACCAAGGCUAUGACGCUUAGGGGAUGUGAGAGCAUGAUCCCCACCACUGGCACUGAGACACUGGCCAGACACCUACGGGUGGCUGCAGUCGAGAAUCUUCGGCAAUGGACGCAAGUCUGACCGAGCGACGCCGCGUGCGGGAUGAAGGCCCUCGGGUUGUAAACCGCUGUCAGAGGGGAUGAAGUGUACGGGAGUUAUCUCCUGUAUUUGACAGAGCCUCAGAGGAAGCACGGGCUAAGUUCGUGCCAGCAGCCGCGGUAAUACGAACUGUGCGAACGUUAUUCGGAAUCACUGGGCUUAAAGGGUGCGUAGGCGGUUUCUUAAGUCAGGUGUGAAAUCUUUCGGCUCAACCGGAAAACUGCGCUUGAUACUGGGAGACUAGAGUGAGGUAGGGGUGUGUGGAACUUCCGGUGGAGCGGUGAAAUGUGUAGAUAUCGGAAGGAACGCCAGCAGCGAAAGCGGCACACUGGGCCUUUUCUGACGCUGAGGCACGGAAGCCAGGGGAGCGAACGGGAUUAGACACCCCGGUAGUCUUGGCCGUAAACGAUGAGUACUG
rnacentral:rRNA from 1 species